rnacentral:rRNA from 1 species
GCUUACGGCCACACCGCCUGGUUCACGCCCCGAUCUCGUUUGAUCUCGGAAGCUAAGAUAGGAUGGGCCUGGUUAGUACUUGGAUGGGAGACCGCCUAGGAAUACCAGGUGCUGUAAGGC